CGGAAGCUUUUCAAAAGUUCUUUUCUGGGUCACAGAACUUUGCCUUCUUAGCGUGAUGAUUCUCCUUCAUGCCCUCACUAAAUCCGGCUCGAAUGGAUUGAGUGGAAAAAGGAGAGGAUGAGGAAGAAGUUGCGUGUGAUCUCG
ensembl:ncRNA R05G6.20 ncRNA